UAGAGAAUCUUCGGCAAUGGGGGGAACCCUGACCGAGCAACGCCGCGUGAGUGAAGAAGGUUUUCGGAUCGUAAAGCUCUGUUGUUAAGGAAGAACGAGUGUGAGAAUGGAAAGUUCAUACUGUGACGGUACUUAACCAGAAAGGGACGGCUAACUACGUGCCAGCAGCCGCGGUAAUACGUAGGUCCCGAGCGUUGUCCGGAUUUAUUGGGCGUAAAGCGAGCGCAGGCGGUUAGAUAAGUCUGAAGUUAAAGGCAGUGGCUCAACCAUUGUAGGCUUUGGAAACUGUUUAACUUGAGUGCAGAAGGGGAGAGUGGAAUUCCAUGUGUAGCGGUGAAAUGCGUAGAUAUAUGGAGGAACACCGGUGGCGAAAGCGGCUCUCUGGUCUGUAACUGACGCUGAGGCUCGAAAGCGUGGGGAGCGAACAGG
rnacentral:rRNA from 1 species